rnacentral:lncRNA from 1 species
UUUUACCCAUCUCCUCUGCCACCGGUUCUUCCCCCUUGACUCAAGAUGUAUUGCAAGCUCUUUCGACCCGUAAGGAUCUACCAUCAUACCUUAUACAGGCAUCGCCUCCACAUCUUGAGUGCAAAGAUUAUCAUCGCCAUCUCUAUAUCAUGUGUAAGAUGAUUCAACUCAUGCUUCUUCAGCUACUUAGAAGCAUAAGCAAUCAUCCAGCCACUUUACGUUAAC